CAAAAUUCUGAGUGACUCUUUAAAGCAAUUUUAAUAUAAAUAAUUUGAAAAAAUCUAUAAAAAAUUGGAAAAUAUAAAAGGGCUGUCUUCUUUCCCUGAAGAAGUUUACGUAUUUAUGAAAUAUGUGUUCUCCAUGUGGACCGAUGGUUUGCUACAAAUAUGAAGACUGCGGUCCACCGUUGCAGUGUCUACCGCGCUCUGCAUUUAAGCGAAAUGGACUACAGGAUUGCCAAUACUUCCAGCAGGGGUCGAUCCGAUAUUUGUGUAAGGCGGGCCCCUGCUGCCCGAGGCCGUGUCCCCCGCCCUGUCCGCCGUGCGUGCGACGUCCGCCCCCUGGAAAGACCUACGUUACGCGUUUUAGUGAUUUCGACCUUAUAUCGCAAUGGUAGUUGAACAUGUUGACCUC